rnacentral:sRNA from 1 species
UAUGUUUUGAUCACACCAUUUUGAACUGUCCCCACAGCACUCUGAAGAUUCAUGCUCAGAAGAAGUAGGAGACGUUAGUGAGGAUGAUGAAUCAAGUAGCCACCCUCCCUGUCGUCAGUCUCUCUCAACUCUCAGUUCUGAAGGUGUGUUGUCUGAGGAGGACAUGACUAGCGAUCGCUCUGGUCAUCAAGAUGGCAGUGGCGAUAAUGGCUUUUUGUCUACGGGUAGUGCAGAAAAUUUACAAGCAGAGUUGACAAAGUUUCCUGAUGGGUUGUCCAACAGGGAGAAGACUCAGGAAGAUGAAGAAUAAAGUCAACUCCCCUGACAGAAUAUUUGAAAAAUGUGAUACAGAAACUAGUUCAAGUUCUGAUGAAUGCUCUGACAUGACUGUCUCAUCAACUAUACACAAAACCAGAUCUCUAGAAACUAGUACACACUGGUAGUAGUUUUUCUCUUAGUUCUAUUUCCUCCAGACAGAAGUCAUCAUUUCUAUCACUUACAAUUAGUGUGUUCAGUUCGGACAUCAAUACAGAUGGUUAGAGAACCAUUUACAAUGUUUUGUUUGGACAUCCAUCAAGUUGGAUAGACAACCAUUUACGCUGUUUCGUCAUUUGUUUAAAUCAAGCAGUAAACUAGUCCUGUGACGUCAUGGAUUCAAAAUUUCACUAUAACAAAAACAUCUUAAAACACAAAGACAGCAUCUUUGAAUUGCAUUACUUGGUAGAUGUAACAGUGCAUCAAACCAAUGUUUUCACUGCUCUUGGUCUGAGACCACCAUCAAUUGCACAAAAAGGGAUUUUCAUUUAUCAUUGUGCACCAUCUGUAGAAAUGAGGACCUUCAUGGAAUGCAUUCAGUUUAAAUCUGAAUUGAAGUCAUGUAACAAUUAGUAUUUUCAUUCUCACUGAUUGUUGAUCUCAAAUUUAAAAAACUCAACAAUUGACAUGUCACCACUACAGCAAGUCAGGAGAAACAGAAUUUCUGUGAAAAAUGUCUUAAUUGUAUAUCUUUACACAUAAAUAAAUUAUUGCUUUAUUAUAGUGCUAAUUUCAUGCCUACAGCAUCCUCAUAAUGCUAUGGUCCAAUCUCAUUCGUGGUCCAGGGAGGGGGUAUCUGUGAGAAGGUUUUCCGUGCUGCCUUUAGGUGCUCAGUAAACACAACUAUGCCUGAGUCGAGUGUUGCAUCUCGAUGCCCCCUUCAUAGGUAGCCAAGCCAAGUUCAAGCGUACUUAGCCUCUCGACCACGCUCCCCACUUAGAAUAAACUUUAAUUAUAUAUUUUUACACUAAGAAUAAGCUAUUCAGUUAGUUGGGCUACCAUACACAAACUGUCUGUCAUUGCCACUGAUACAUCAAGACUAAAGAGUUUUAAUGUUCCCUACUUAUGCUCAUCUUCUUUGCAUUGAUGCGAAUAUGUAAUUUUUUUUUUGUGGCAUGAUUCUAACUAUCUUAUACUAAUAGUAAAACUUUAAAUGUUUAUGUAAGCAUCACCUCACCAUAUCCUGAUUGUAUUAUGCUUGUCACAUAUAGAAAAAGUAAAAUGCAUUGCUAUUAGGGAAAAUCAUAUUAAAAUGAUGGCAAAUUUGUGCAUUUUCUGCCAAUAGAAACUUGAUCUAAACUAAAUAAAAGCAUGCACUAAAUCAAUGAAUCAAAAGUUGUCAUUUUAUAUCAGAUUUGUCAAUGGUUUAUACAAGUCUAGAAUAACUUUUCAAAGCUAACCCUGGGCCAUUGAUGCAUUGUGUGGAGGAGGAUGAGCAGUAUUUUUUUAAUUUUUGUUGUUUUAUGUCCAUUCUAACAGUUCUGUGAACUCAUCCUGUCUAAAACUACCAGCUGUUUCAAUUGACCUAACUGCUUACUGGUUAAUAGGUUUUUUAAAAAAUUACAUUAUUAAUUAUUUUGAUCUAAAUGAGAUAUGAUCAAAGGACAUUGGCACUUUAGAUUCUAAUUUUGAAAUAUAUUUAGUUAAAUUCUGCUCCAAAUAUUAGUAAUUUUCACACAUUUU